rnacentral:rRNA from 1 species
UACGGAGGGGGCUAGCGUUGUUCGGAAUUACUGGGCGUAAAGUCGCGCGUAGGCGGUGAUCUUUGUCAGGGGUGAAAUCCCGGGGCUCAACUCCGGAAUUGCCUUUGAUACGGGAUCGCUAGAGUCCGAGAGAGGAUGGCGGAAUUCCUAGUGUAGAGGUGAAAUUCGUAGAUAUUAGGAAGAACACCGGUGGCGAAGGCGGCCAGUCUGGCUCGGUACUGACGCUCAGGCGCGAAAGCGGUGGGGAGCAAACAGGG